UACAGAGGGUGCAAGCGUUAAACGGAAUUACUGGGCGUAAAGCGCACGUAGGCGGUUUUUUAAGUCAGAUGUGAAAGCCCCGGGCUCAACCUGGGAAUUGCAUUUGAAACUGGGAAACUAGAGUGUGUGAGAGGGGGGUAGAAUUCCAAGUGUAGCGGUGAAAUGCGUAGAGAUUUGGAGGAAUACCAGUGGCGAAGGCGGCCCCCUGGCACAACACUGACGCUCAGGUGCGAAAGCGUGGGGAGCAAACAGG
rnacentral:rRNA from 1 species